UUUUUCAUUUUCUCCUCUUCUGUUAUAACCUUACCCAUUAAAAACCAAAUCUUAGCCGUGUAGUUUCCAAAUCAAAAACAAAGGUCCAAAGAAAUCGAAACAAAAACGAAUCAACAAGACAACAGAAAUCUCAUGUAAUAAUCAUGGGGGUUAUGGCAUUUGAGGCGAUGUGAACAAGAUGGCAAUAUCAAAUCAUGCAAAGGAGAAAUGUUAAAUACCAAAUCGGAGCUAGUCCGACGUUUCAACUCCGGCAAGGUGAGGGGGCUUAGCUCGAGCUUGUUGAGCUUCGGUGUGAAAAUCUCAACAAGUUCAAAACAGAGCUUUUUUAACUAGGGUUUUGGAAUGAUUUCUCCAGAGUAACGGCGCAGAAAUUCGGAUCCCUACUUCAUCCCUGGAGGUCCUUAUUUAUAGCAUUUUUGAUGUACGAGGUUUUGAAUUCCUCUCUCAUGAGCUUGGCAAAUUAGUGGGAGAAUCAUUCCGUUAGGUAGCAGAAUUUCUCAGAGUUAGUGGUGCUUCAAAUCGGUGUGGUCCUUCAAAUGCUUUACUCUUCUCAAUCUCCCACCAACGGUUCAUGAUGACUUGUGCAUCACACUUCUGAAAUGGUUAUCAAGGUUGGAACAUCGCAUCGGUUUCAUUCACUGCAGUUAGCUUAAUUAAUCCAUAGAGUGGAGGUUUACAAUAUUCACGUAUCGAUGCGGUUUUGGCCAAUGGUUGUAGGCUUGUGCUCCGUGAUUCUAUUACCAUGAGGUUGGUGCUUUUGUAAGGAUGCAUUUGUGAUAUGCAGGUUUGGAUAUUGAUUCCCAUAUCCUUGCUUGGAAAUCUAAUUUGACAGUCUUAUUAGCCUCAAAAACUGUUUCCAAUGAAUUUCCCUGGAAAGCAACCAAUCAACAGAGCAACACAGAAGCGCUUCAGCACUCCCAAUAUCAACCUUCUCAGAGUGUUUGCCCGACAAUACUUCGGGGCAACCUAUGCAGGGCUUUCAGCCAAUCCAGUCAAGUUUUGACCUUCCCAAAUUCUCAUAUUGAGUUCAAAAUCUGUAGGCUUUAACUUUCUUGAUUUUUCAGGUUUGAUAUCUCUGUGCACGACUCUUGCGAGUCUUUGUUGCUGCUGAUGCAUUGCUGGAUGUUUGUUAUGAUGUAUUUCGGCUAGUGGUUGUGGUAUGCAGGUUUUUCCAUGUGCGAUUCUGAUGAAAACCAGGUGGUUCUGCAUCAAAUUCUUCCUGCAUUGCUUGCCGGUUAUGCGCGACUAAGGACUUGUUGGCGAGGUUGCAGACCUUCACUUUUGAUGUCCAUUCGCCAUGUUCAGAACAAUUCUCACCCUAUCACAUUUGCUUGUAAUACAUAGUGCCUUAGGGUAGGUCAUUCAUCUGUGCUCAACCGUGUAUGUACUUCAUAAUUCGAGGCAUAUACGGACUGCCCAUAAUUGGAAUAACUGUAUGCCAUACUUGUUGAUUUGUGAAUGUAAUCGUAAUUUUAG